GGCCUCCUGGUGGCUUUCUUUUGGCUCUGUUUUCUUUGUACUGUCUACAUAGAAAGAGGAGGCAGAGAAACCCUUCCCUUCUCCACCUAUACUGUAUUUUGGUUUUAGGAACAUGAAAAUUUAAAAGGAAGAGAGAG
ensembl:snoRNA